GAUCAAGCGACUAAGUGCAUGUGGUGGAUGCCUUGGCGAUCACAGGCGAUGAAGGACGCGGCAGUCUGCGAAAAGCCCCGGGGAGCUGACAACGAGCUUUGAUCCGGGGGUCUCCGAAUGAGGGAACUCCAAGCUUUAGCUUGAUCCAUGCGUGAAUACAUAGCGUAUGGAGGCGAACGCGGCGAACUGAAACAUCUCAGUAGCUGCAGGAAAAGAAAUCAACCGAGAUUCCGGAAGUAGCGGCGAGCGAAACCGGAACAGCCUGAAUUCGAUAUUGAGAAAAACACUGGAAGAGUCUGGAAAGGCUCGCCAUAGUGGGUGAUAGCCCCGUACGGGACGUUUAUCUCAAGGUACUAAGGAUUCGAAAAGUAGGUCGGGGCACGUGAAACCCUGGCUGAACAUGGGGGGACCAUCCUCCAAGGCUAAAUACUCGUGAUCGACCGAUAGCGUACUAGUACUGUGAAGGAAAGGUUAAAAGAACCCCGGGAGGGGAGUGAAAUAGAUUCUGAAACCGCAUGCAUACAAACAGUAGGAGCCCUUCGGGGUGACUGCGUACCUUUUGCAUAAUGGGUCAGCGACUUAUGUUAUGUGGCAAGCCUAACCGACUAGGGGAGGCGCAGCGAAAGCGAGUCCGAACAGGGCGAUUCAGUCGCAUGGCAUAGACCCGAAACCAGAUGAGCUAACCAUGGCCAGGCUGAAGGUGUGGUAACACACACUGGAGGGCCGAACCUACUGGUGUUGCAAAACCAGAGGAUGAGCUGUGGUUAGGGGUGAAAGGCUUAACAAAUCUGGAGAUAGCUGGUUCUCCCCGAAAACUAUUGAGGUAGUGCCU
rnacentral:ncRNA from 1 species